rnacentral:lncRNA from 1 species
GUGCUGCGGGUGGCCUGGGUCAGACACUGCGCAUGGUCAGGGGCGGUUGCGUCAACGGCGGCGCAGCUCAUGAUGGCGCCGGGCUCUGCUGGCUGUCACCUGUAGUUUGGACGAGGGAAUAUUCUUUCCUUUACAACCUGCCGUCUUCCACGUGAUCUGAAUCCUCUGUGACUAAGAAAACUAUUUAUACAAAAUGUUUUCUCGAUCCAAAUGCAGUUUGGAUAUUUACUGCUCAUCUGCAUCAGAGCGUCUUUAUUUGAACAUCUGGUUUUCUGCUGCAAGCCUCCCUGUGGCUGGAUAGAAGCCACUUUGAAACCUGGAAGCAAUGCCUGAGGUUCUCUAAUUACCUAUUUUCCCCUCAAAUAGAAAUAAAAUUGACUGUAAGAAAAUUUGGCAAUGAUUCAUUUUGUGGACUGCUCUGAUAAUUUAUUGUAGCCCAG